UACGUAGGUGGCAAGCGUUGUCCGGAUUUACUGGGCGUAAAGAGCGCGCAGGCGGUCGUUCAAGUCGAAUGUGAAAGCCCCCGGCUCAACUGGGGAGGGUCAUUCGAUACUGUUCGACUCGAAGGCAGGAGAGGGAAGUGGAAUUCCGGGUGUAGUGGUGAAAUGCGUAGAUAUCCGGAGGAACACCAGUGGCGAAGGCGACUUUCUGGCCUGUUCUUGACGCUGAGGCGCGAAAGCUAGGGGAGCAAACGGG
rnacentral:rRNA from 1 species